GAUGAACGCUGGCGGCGUGCCUAAUACAUGCAAGUCGAGCGAAUGGAUUAAGAGCUUGCUCUUAUGAAGUUAGCGGCGGACGGGUGAGUAACACGUGGGUAACCUGCCCAUAAGACUGGGAUAACUCCGGGAAACCGGGGCUAAUACCGGAUAACAUUUUGAACCGCAUGGUUCGAAAUUGAAAGGCGGCUUCGGCUGUCACUUAUGGAUGGACCCGCGUCGCAUUAGCUAGUUGGUGAGGUAACGGCUCACCAAGGCAACGAUGCGUAGCCGACCUGAAAGGGUGAUCGGCCAGACUGGGACUGAGACACGGCACAGACUCCUACGGGAGGCAGCAGUAGGGAACCUUCCGCAAUGGACGAAAGUCUGACGGAGCAACGCCGCGUGAGUGAUGAAGGCUUUCGGGUCGUAAAACUCUGUUGUUAGGGAAGGACAAGUGCUAGUUGAAUAAGCUGGCACCUUGACGGUACCUAACCAGAAAGCCACGGCUAACUACGUGCCAGCCGCCGCCGUAA
rnacentral:rRNA from 1 species